AUCCCUAGUUUGGGGGCAGUAAUUCUUCAUAUAAUCAGGCUGCUACCCGAGAAAUAUUGUUUAGACUUAACAAUCAAAGUGUUAAAAAAAUUGAAUUCACAAAAACCUGUCCUUAAUCCAUGCAGUAUAAAUCCUUGGGGAGAUGCAUGAUUCCAGAAUUCAUUGCCAGUCAGAGCAUGGUAUCUAAUGGUGCCUGAAAGACAACACGUUCCAAUUAGAACAUAUGAGCAACUGUGGGUAAUUUUCUUCCUGAAAGGCAAAGCAAUGGGUUGAAUGACUGCACAGUAACCAAGUAAAAGUACAAAAUCAAGGACUCGAAAGAGAAAAUACCAAGUCCUAGAAAGGAGUCUUCCAAACAGGUAAGGAUGAAGUCCUGAUUCAGCAAUGAACAUUGCCCAUCAGCCCCUUCUUUUUAACCUACUGUGAGAGGCAAAUAUAGUCUCUCACUAGGCCAUUUUAUGUACUGCUGCAACAG
rnacentral:lncRNA from 12 species